UCAAAAUGAAGACACAAUUUU
rnacentral:piRNA from 1 species